rnacentral:rRNA from 1 species
ACUGGGCGUAAAGCGCACGCAGGCGGUUUGUUAAGUCAGAUGUGAAAUCCCCGGGCUCAACCUGGGAACUGCAUCUGAUACUGGCAAGCUUGAGUCUCGUAGAGGGGGGUAGAAUUCCAGGUGUAGCGGUGAAAUGCGUAGAGAUCUGGAGGAAUACCGGUGGCGAAGGCGGCCCCCUGGACGAAGACUGACGCUCAGGUGCGAAAGCGUGGGGAGCAAACAGGAUUAGAUACCCUUGUA